AAGACUUCCAAUGCCCCUUCCUUAGUCAGUCAAAUGGGAAGAGUCUUCACAAGAAAAUACAGGCUUGUCAUAAUAUUUAGAAUAUGGUUUCUUCAUUGACAACACCACUGGGGCAUUCCUGGAAGAAAGUGAAAGACAAGAAAUGAAUACCAUCCAACCUGGUCCAGUCAACUCGUGUUCAUGAGACCGUACACAACAUUUGCCACCUGAGUGACGCAAAUGAGCAGCAACUGUCCUGCUGCACAGCGUGGAGCCAUUGCUGUCACUCAUGGGCCAUGGUUGGUCACUCCUGCAGCUGCAAGCAGCAUUUGCAUGGUAUGGAAAUCAAGCAGGAAUGUAAGCACUUAGAUAUUACUGACAGAACAUGCAGUAAAAUUCAACUGAAAGAGUUAUAUUCAAUGAAUUCAAAAGACCCUGACGCUGAAGAUCUUAUUCAAACCUUGCAGAACCUUUUGCCUCUUUACAUCUUUUUCAUAAACUGAAAUAUAUAUAAGAAAGAAUAAGCAGGAAGUGUCAGAACAGAGUGACUAAAAGAAAAAAAAAGGAAGUGAUGGAGAAGAAAAAAGAUGAUUAGAGCUGUGACUUUACAAAAAUUACUUAUGUAAAGAGGUAGGAAAAGCAGAAGGAAUACCGUAUAGUUUACUAAGUUGCACAUAAAUAUCAAAGACCAGAGAGCCGAUUUCUAGUCCUGAAUUUGUCAGACUGAGGAGAUGGCUUUGGGCAAUGCACUUAAUUCCUUUUUUGCCUUAAUUCCUUCUUUAACACAGAGGGUGAAAAAAAGCCUUAAAAGGAAAGAAUUUUUAGAAACAAAGAUAAGCAAGAAAAUACAAAUUAAGUGUUAAGGUUCAUACAUUUGUUUUUGUCAAUUGCCAUGCUAUUUGGACUGAGGGUUCAAACAUAUAUACUCCUAGUCCUAAGCUGGGGAAACAAAAUAGCUUUAAAUGAAGAUAAAGAUCAGUGAAAUAUCUUUUACCAGUGUAAUAAUAGCUUUUCAUGUGAGAACAAAUGGUAUUUUAAUUAGAUAAAAUAAAGACCAAUGAGCUAUAGUUCCGACAGCUUCUGCGAAGAAACGAAUAGUGUAAUCUUACUAAUUGAGAGACAAAUGCACCAUCUGAGCAAUGGAUGUCAGUUCUGUAGAUCUAGGAUUAUUUUGAUUUUAUGUCACUUUUCUCAGCCAAAAUCUGCUUUUCAUCAUAACUAAGCAUGUGCCAGCACACAGUAAAAAACAAUUCUGUUUGAUCAGACAGACAAACAACUGUGUCGUAGAUAGACAUACAAAAUUAUUUGUUCCCAACCACAGAGGCUGACAGCUAUGGAAUUAGAGCACAGGUCUCUGUAAGAUCAGAUAUACUGGUUGCACUGCCUUUCGAACCAAAGCCUUUGGGGAAUGGCAGGAACAUCUCUACCCUUCAUCAGGUAAAGAGUAAUCCAUUAAUUGAGGAGGCAUCUCCCUGGCUGUCAUGUUGUUGGGUAUGAGGGCAUCUAAAACAUCUCUCUCUGCUUUACCAGCUUCCCAAAAAGACUGUAGUCAGAUAGGCCAGUGUCUCUGGCUCCUAGCAGGCUUACAGUUGGUCACCCAAGUAACAAGCAAUAGGACAAGAGGAAAUGGCUUCAAGUUGUCCCAGGGCAGGUUCGGAUUGAAUAUUACAGCAAAUUUCUUCACCAAAAGGGUUAUGAAGCAUUGGAAUGGCCUGCUCAGGGAAGUGGUUGAGACAUCAUCCGUGAAGACAUUUAACAUUCUGUAGAUGUGGCACUUAGGGACAUGGUUUAGUGGUGGACUUGGCAGUGCUGGGUUAAUGGUUGGACUUGAUGAUCUCAUGUCUUUUCCAACCUCGAUGAUUCUAUGUCUUUAUGAUUCUACUACUCUGCUUGUCUUUUUAUGUGAAGCCUUCUGGAGUUGUAGAAGUGCAUGCAAGAGGGCAGUAUUUUCACUUGGAUUCGAAGCACAAUAAAGAAAACUUCAGUGAAUUGUUCAGAUACAUACAGAUAUAACAUUAUAGUAAUUCAAUGUAGACAAUGUAACAAAGGUAUUUUAUAAGUUCCUCUUUCAAGAAUACAUUGGUAUAUAAUCUACGUCAUUCCCAGACCUCCACAAGGAAGAACAUAGCCUUUCCCCUGAGGUGAGUGGACAUGUGAAAGGAUAAUACAUUACUUUGGAAUUUAGAAAAAUAAGCAGUGACUUCUUUCUGUUCUGCAGGUAAUUUUUUUUCAGACAAAAAAAAAAUAGGUAGGCAGAUUUUGAAGGAAUUAAAGAGAAAACCUGCAUAUCUGAAUUUGUACAGGUCAGGUACUGACUUUUUUUUCCUGAGACACUUAAUAAAUAAUGAUUGACAAAAUGAGCAUCUAAGUUUAUCUAACUCUAUGGCUUAUUAACAUGCAAUGUAAUUUUUCUCGCUUUUCCUUGGAUGACAAAGACAUACAAACUAUACUCAUUUUGCACAGAGUGCUCUCCCUUUUUUACAGGAAGUGCCAGCAACAACAACUCUGUCAGUCCUUAGCCUGUAGCUGUGAAGAGCUAGAGGAGAAUUAAGGGUACUCUGUAAAAAUCUGUCUGAUUUAUUAUUUGUUAGUUCAAAAUGAGUUAGGAACCUUUAAAAAAAAAAACAAACAUGAUCUACAUUCCUCAUUUAAAGGUAGUAUUUUUUUCCUGUCACUUAAUAAGCUCUGGUAUCACCAUACUGUUUGAAAGAAUCAUUGCUUGAAAAGGCAACCUACUUUCAGAGAAUUAUUUAUUAGCAGACCCAGGAAUGACAGUUUGAGUUUCUCUAGUCUGACCCUCUGUAUUUUCCUCUGUUCUUUGGCACAGCAUUGCUGGUAACACCUUCUACAUCCUUGAAGGUCUGUAGUAAUGGUGUCUUAAGAACAUUCAUUAAAAAUCUGUGAUGCUGGCCAAUUACUCUUACCAGAACUAUCAGUUCAAACUUUUCUUUCUUUAGCUUGGAACUUCCUUCUGAGCUUCUAUAUGACAGUGAACACUCUUGUUCUUAAAUAAUUGUAUUCUAAAAAUAUAUGUAGCCAACACAAUUUACCUCCAAGCCUGCACUUUUCUGGACUCAUAAAUCUGGCUUUCUUGUGUUUAUCAGGAGAUUUCUGCAGUUCAGUGAAUAAGAUUAAAUAUCGUAAUUGUUAAGUAUGCCCCAUGGCUUGAUUUCAAGUUAUUGCUGACUUCUUCCUUUGUACAAACUAUAAUUAAAAAAAUCUAUCUAACCUUUCAUUAAACUCUUAUAAAAUAGAGGAAAAUAAUUAAAUAGUUUGAAAGAAAAAUGUGAGGCAUAUUUAAACCAUCUCCUAUAUUCUUUUUUUCCCUGAUCUGUAUAUAAUUUGUUACAGCAAAUUUCUGUUUGACAAUCUUUUAAAAUUGUAUUAAUUUAUUUUCCAUCUGGAGAAUAAAAAGGAGGGAAAGUUCAUAGAGAACUGAGUCCAGUGCUCCCUCUUUUAAAGAGAAAAUAAUUUAAACUGACAGAAAGAAGAGACAGAGAAUAAUAAAUACGAUUCUGCCUUUUGAUGACCUCGCUUGCUUGCAAUUUUGUUGCUGGGAAAUUACACCUCCAGCACAUGGUCUUAUGAACCACUCCAAAACCUGUAAAUUAUUUACAAGCUCAUGCUGUCUAAGCUGUCUCUCCUUCAGUGUUUCUAAGAAUAUUGCAAUAGGUUUAUUCAUCUUCACUACCUAAUCAACACCCUUUUUAGACAAGAAGCAAACCAAAAAGACACAAAAAAGGAGAAAUACUGAAAUGUAGGAAAGAGAAUGAAGGGGAAAGAAACUCAAAGCUCAGACGUCUGUCUGCAUAACAAACUGUAUUGUAUAAUGGAUAGAGCUGGAGCUCUGGCAACUUUGAAUAUAUUUUAGCCUUUUAUAUGAGAGGUUCUCCAUCCCAUGCUUCAUUUGCCAUCAGUUUUUUGUACAGUUUCAUUUUGGAUAUAUGUUCAUGUUCAUUGAUUUAAUUAUCAAUAACUGACAAUAUUUUCACUUUCUGCAUGUACUUCUAUUCUGACUGCAAAUUUAAAUUUACCAUAAACACAAAACUUAAUGGAAGAAUAUGUACAUAAUUUUGAAAUAGCAUGCUUAUACUUUAAAGCUAAUGCUACCAAAAAACCCACUGUGGCUUUACACAGCCCAGUUCAGUUCCCAAUUUUUCCAUUUGAGUAUGACAGAGCUUUGAUCACAACAGCAUGAGAAUUUAACAAAUGGCCUCGAUUUAAUAACAUUAUCUAGGUGAAAUUAAUAACAAAAUCUGGGACAACAGACACUUCAUGAAGCUCAACAAGAAUUUCAAUGUUCUGCAUCUGGGAAGAAAUCUGCCCUUGUCCCAGUAGCCGCUGUGAAGUGAGUGGCUGAAUGGCAGCACUGCCAAACAGGACACCAAACAGGGGUUACAGGGGAUGUCAAGCUGAGUGUGAGCCAAGAAAACCUUCUUACUAUAAAUAAGAUAAACCACCUACUGGUACAAAGCCAGCAGGAUGAGGAGUUAUUCUCUAAUUCUGCUUGGGACAGUCUUGGGGCUCUCCCAGGGGUGUGGAGGAACUGAUGAGAGAUAAGCAGAAGGUCAUGAAGACUACUAGGGACAAACACAUGUGACCACAAAGGAGAGACAGAGAGUUGGGCUUGCUUAGUCUAGGGCAUUGCUAAGGGAAGAUCUAAUAGCAGCCCACCAGAAAGGAAGUAGCAGAUCUAAAGGAACCAAAAUCUUAGUAGGGACAGACAAUUUAACAAAGUUUGGUGUCCACAGUCUGAGUUUUGUGAGCUCACAUUAGACACUAAAAUCACUUUUUCACUCCUCUUGGUACCCUGAAGUGUGGUGAUGCUUGAGAUAGCCCCUACUUUCAGUGAAAAGAUGUGCUGUUGAACAGUCUUAGAAAGCUGUGUAUAGAGAGCUUCACUAAGAGGUGAGGCAAGAGGCUUUUAUAAAUGGACCUUGAUAAUUUGCCGUUAUGAAGAGGAACAUACUGACCAGGACAGUGUGUGAGUUAGGGACCUGAGACAACAGGUUCUGAAGCUUGUGGGUUUUUUCAGGCUUUAAUGCUUCUAAGGUUUACGCAAAUGAACUUUUAUCCACUUCCAAAUUCCAAAGCUGCAUUCCUAAGGUUGAUUUAAAUUUGCUAUAUCUAAUGCUUGUUCUGAUGUAUGUGAUUCAAAUGUAGGCCUUCUGAUGACUUUCAUUUUUGCAGAAAACUAAGCCAAAUUAUAAUUAUGCAAUUCACAUGGGUUGCAAUAUCAAAUUAAUUUCUCCCACUAAGAAAUACAAUUAGUAUUUUUAGACUAAACAUCUAGUUUUAUUCAGAAAAGCCCCACAUGUAUUUGGUGUUUAAUCAGAGGACAUUGAUGUGCAUUUAGCCUAUAUUGGCCUCCUAUGGCAAGACAUCAGUGGCUAUGUAGUAAAAUUAUUCACCAAAGUUAUCCACCAACUAUUAGCCAAUGUUUUAUCAGAUAGAAGUAUUUUGUUAGCAUAUCUACAGUAAUGUAUUUUAGCACCAAGGUUUAUACUUGAAAUGUACAGUGUUUUUUCUAGGCUAAUAGAAAAAUUAACCACAAGGGAACUUGGCAAGAAUACUCUUGAACAGACUAAUACCUGCUAUAGCAGAAGGAAUUCUACCCGAGAGCCAAUGUGGUUUCAGAACCAACAGGAGCACCACAGACAUUGUAUGUUAAUGAUUUCCCCUCCCAGUUUUCAGGAAUUUGCUGACACAGCUAAUGCAUAUGUAAC